UGAGACGACCAUACUAGUCUGGAAACACCUGAUCCCAUUCCGAACUCAGCAGUUAAGCAUUCUAGGUUAUUGGAAUAGUUUUCGAAGGAAAGUGAAACCAAUGAGUUGUCUCGU
rnacentral:rRNA from 1 species